CCGUCUAGCAACAGCUGGAUCUUGACCGGCUUCAAUUUAUAAUUAUAAACUGGAGACAGCAACAGCAACAUCGCCGGAGGCAGAGAUCAAUCCAGUCAUUGUGCACAAGGAGUAAGGACUGAGGAGGAGGAGGAGAUGGGUCGGCCCUCUAGCUUUGCUCGUUUUCUGAUUUUGGUGAUCUUUAUAGCAUUCAUCUCUGCCAUGCAGUUGGGAUUGGUUAAUGCAGAUUCUAUGGUGAGAAAGAUGCUUGAAAGAAGAUCUAUACCUACAUCUCCUCCAUCUCCAAAUCCAAACCGACCAGGGCCACCUGAUAGGUUGCUGAACUGAUUUAGUAUGCGCUUCUCAAAUGCAAUAAAUAAUUGCUCUGCUGAUUAAACAGGGUAACUGACAAGUCCACUCCAUCCAUGCAUAAGGAAACUGAAACAAGUUUUCUUAUAUCUGCAUCUGAAAGUUUUCCGAUUGGAAUAAUGAAUAAUAAAACCCUGGGAUAUUGAUAUUCUUGAUUGGAAUUGGAUGAUCCAUAGUGUCAGCAUAAGUGGAUUAUUCUGCAAUAUUAAAGCCAAUGCUUUUCAAGAGCGAUUUGCUGCCAGUACUUCGUCUCUCGUAUUCUAGCUCCUCCGUCCUUGUUGUUCUCAAAAAAUGAAAUAAAAUGGUGCUAUUCUGCUGGUGGUUUUUAAAUUUUGGUUGAUCUCAUUAUUAUCUGGUUGGUCCCCUGAAGGUUCUGUAUUUUGAGAUGUUUUCUUUCAAGUUUCAA